GUCUGGGCGGCGCAGCGACCCACCCAACACGUUACAGGACCUGGUGGUGGGGAUGGUCAGCUAUGGCUGUGAAGCGGGGCCCUGAGGCUCCAAGGCUGUCCAGGAAGGCGUCCUGGCUGGCGCAUGGGAAGAGGGCAGGCAGGAAGGCUCCGGGCAGGGCGGGGCGGGAGGGUGAGGAACUGCCAGUCCCACACUUGGCCGGGUCCUCAGGGAGCCAGGCCUGGGCCCCCUAUGAGCUGCCUGACCUUGGAGGGGUUCCUGGUGCGGAGGAAGGGGCCGAGUCCCAGCCCCACCCUUGACCAAGCGUUCUGGGAGCCCCACCAAGCAUCGCCCAGCUCCUCUCCUUACGCUGCCCACAUCUACUCUAGGGUCAAGCUAAGCAAGGCACGCAGAGCCCCCAAAUCGCACCGGCACGCGGCCCCAGGCUCAGCGCAGGCUAUGGGCACUGAGCCACCCCAGCUUCAGGAAGCAGGGGAAGUGCCCACCGGGAUAGUCAACCAAAUCAGCGUUUAAUCUCCGCUGUGAAUUUGCGGGGUGGAGGCUAGAAAACAUCCUGGAACGGAGGCGGCGAAGAUGCCAGGACCAGAAGAAGCAGGAAGGCAUGUGUCAUGGCACGUUCUGAGGAUGGGCCGAGAGGGCGGCUAAGGCUGGAGGAAGGCCAGGAGGGAUGGGGUCAGAGCAGGGCAAGGGCCAUGGGGUGCCACGGACGGCUCUGAGCCAGAGGACACCGAACGGCUACUGCCCUAUGGAGGGAGGGCCUCUCUGGCCACCGAGUGGGCAGAUCGGCGGAGGCGGGGGCCAGGGCUGGAGGCAGAACGAAACGGGAAGGCAGGCAUAGUGGGGGUAAUGGCGAGCGGCAGUCGGGAGGAGAGGAGAGGACUGCGGGGAGGUGCGGGCGCUAGGCCCGCCUCGGCUCCGGCGUUGCGCCAAAGACCCGCUAGGAGGCGCCGCUGCCCCGCGAAGCCGUGCCCUGCCUCUAGCACCACCCAAACCCCGCGCUCCCGCCUAGAGAAGCCCCGGAAGAGGCGGGGCGGCGCACUCAGAUGCCGCUUCCGGUUUCAGCUUGGCCCCGAGGCGGGGGAGCCUGGUGCACGACAGGAGCUCAGGACAAGCUGAACCUGCUCUGUGGCCUGCGGUGAGCCUCGAAGUUAUCCUAGCUGUCCAGUUCAGGUGCUGCUGGACCAGCAUGCACAGACACAAGUCAUGCCUCCUCUGGUGCCCAUGAAGCCCUGGCUGGGCAACCAUCCUCCGCCCCCAGAACAAUGUCUCUUGAAAGGAUGAAAGGACUCCUGGGCUCCCAAGUGUAAAGGAAGCAGCAUGCCUGUGAUGUCCCUCGCUGGAUGACCGUGGUUGCGUCCUGACCCCUUCUGGGUCUCAGUGGCCUCAGCUUCAAAGCCAGGUGUUUCUCUACCUCUGACUGUUGAUUUUCUCCCCAGCCCGUUCCCGAACCCACCCUCCCAGUCCCUGUUCCCACUUCCCUCAGUGAUCCUCUCCCUCUAAUACUCCCCACACCACCUCCACCAAGAAGGCUCCCUGACCUUCCCAGGCAUCAUGAGUUUCUACCCUCUCUGCACAAACAACUAUGGUGAAUAUUUUUAUAGUGAUGGCAGGA